UACAGAGGAUGCAAGCGUUAUCCGGAAUGAUUGGGCGUAAAGCGUCUGUAGGUGGCUUUUUAAGUCCGCCGUCAAAUCCCAGGGCUCAACUCUGGACAGGCGGUGGAAACUACCAAGCUGGAGUACGGUAGGGGCAGAGGGAAUUUCCGGUGGAGCGGUGAAAUGCGUAGAGAUCGGAAAGAACACCAACGGCGAAGGCGACUACCUGGCCUGUUCUUGACGCUGAGGCGCGAAAGCUAGGGGAGCAAACGGG
rnacentral:rRNA from 1 species